GACGAACGCUGGCGGCGUGCUUAACACAUGCAAGUCGAACGGAAAGGCCUUUUCGUUGGUACUCUAGUGGCGAACGCGUGCGUAACACGUGGGUGUGCUUCCCUUCACUCUGGGAUAAGCCUGGGAAACUGGGUCUAAUACCGGAUACGACCGCACUUUAGUGUGUGUGGUUGCAAGAUUUUUCGGUGUAGUUUCAGCCCGCGGUCUAUCGGCUUGUUCUUGGGUUAAUGGCCUACCAAGUCGCGGGCGGGUAGCCGCACUGAGCGUUUGAUAGGCCACAUUGGGACUGAGAUGAGGCCGAAACUGGGACGGGAGGGAGAAGGGGGGAAGAUUGAACAAUGGGCGCAAGGCUGAUGCAGCGGGGCCGCGGGGGGGAUGACGGCCUUAGGGUUGUAAAAUACAUUUGCCAGGAACGAAGCGUUUUGUGACGGUACCUGGAGAAGAAGCACCGGCUAACUACGUG
rnacentral:rRNA from 1 species